GAUGAACGCUGGCGGCGUGCCUAAUACAUGCAAGUCGAGCGAACAGACGAGGAGCUUGCUCCUCAGACGUUAGCGGCGGACGGGUGAGUAACACGUGGGUAACCUACCUAUAAGACUGGGAUAACUUCGGGAAACCGGAGCUAAUACCGGAUAAUAUAUUGAACCGCAUGGUUCAAUAGUGAAAGACGGUUUUGCUGUCACUUAUAGAUGGAUCCGCGCCGCAUUAGCUAGUUGGUAAGGUAACGGCUUACCAAGGCGACGAUGCGUAGCCGACCUGAGAGGGUGAUCGGCCACACUGGAACUGAGACACGGUCCAGACUCCUACGGGAGGCAGCAGUAGGGAAUCUUCCGCAAUGGGCGAAAGCUUGACGGAGCAACGCCGCGUGAGUGAUGAAGGUCUUCGGAUCGUAAAACUCUGUUAUUAGGGAAGAACAAAUGUGUAAGUAACUAUGCACGUCUUGACGGUACCUAAUCAGAAAGCCACGGCUAACUACGUG
rnacentral:rRNA from 1 species